rnacentral:rRNA from 1 species
AGUCUACUCAUGACAGUCGAACGGUAACAGGAAGCAGCUUGCUGCUUUGCUGACGAGUGGCGGACGGGUGAGUAAUGUCUGGGAAACUGCCUGAUGGAGGGGGAUAACUACUGGAAACGGUAGCUAAUACCGCAUAAUGUCGCAAGACCAAAGAGGGGGACCUUCGGGCCUCUUGCCAUCGGAUGUGCCCAGAUGGGAUUAGCUUGUUGGUGGGGUAACGGCUCACCUAGGCGACGAUCCCUAGCUGGUCUGAGAGGAUGACCAGCCACACUGGAACUGAGACACGGUCCAGACUCCUACGGGAGGCAGCAGUGGGGAAUAUUGCACAAUGGGCGCAAGCCUGAUGCAGCCAUGCCGCGUGUAUGAAGAAGGCCUUCGGGUUGUAAAGUACUUUCAGCGGGGAGGAAGGGAGUAAAGUUAAUACCUUUACUCAUUGACGUUACCCGCAGAAGAAGCACCGGCUAACUCCGUGCCAGCAGCCGCGGUAAUACGGAGGGUGCAAGCGUUAAUCGGAAUUACUGGGCGUAAAGCGCACGCAGGCGGUUUGUUAAGUCAGAUGUGAAAUCCCCGGGCUCAACCUGGGAACUGCAUCUGAUACUGGCAAGCUUGAGUCUCGUAGAGGGGGGUAGAAUUCCAGGUGUAGCGGUGAAAUGCGUAGAGAUCUGGAGGAAUACCGGUGGCGAAGGCGGCCCCCUGGACGAAGACUGACGCUCAGGUGCGAAAGCGUGGGGAGCAAACAGGAUUAGAUACCCUGGUAGUCCACGCCGUAAACGAUGUCGACUUGGAGGUUGUGCCCUUGAGGCGUGGCUUCCGGAGCUAACGCGUUAAGUCGACCGCCUGGGGAGUACGGCCGCAAGGUUAAAACUCAAAUGAAUUGACGGGGGCCCGCACAAGCGGUGGAACAUGUGGUUUAAUUCGAUGCAACGCGAAGAACCUUACCUGGUCUUGACUUCCACGGAAGUUUUCAGAGAUGAGAAUGUGCCUUCGGGAACCGUGAGACAGGUGCUGCAUGGCUGUCGUCAGCUCGUGUUGUGAAAUGUUGGGUUAAGUCCCGCAACGAGCGCAACCCUUAUCCUUUGUUGCCACCGGUCCGGCCGGGAACUCAAAGGAGACUGCCAGUGAUAAAUUGGAGGA